AGAGUUUGAUCCUGGUUCUAGAUGAUUCCUAGCGGCAGGCUUAACACAUGCAAGUCGAACGGUAACAUUUCUUGCUUGCAAGAAGAUGACGAGUGGCGCACGGGUGAGUAACGCGUAUACAACCUGCCUUGAACAAAGGGAUAGCCCAUGGAAACGUGGAUCAAUACCUUAUAACAUCUAGAUGUGGCAUCAUAUUUAGAUCAAAGAUUUAUUGGUUUGAGAGGGGUAUGCGUGACAUUAGAUAGUUGGUGAGGUAACGGCUCACCAAGUCAGCGAUGUCUAGGGGUUCUGAGAGGAUGAUCCCCCACACUGGUACUGAGACACGGACCAGACUCCUACGGGAGGCAGCAGUGAGGAAUAUUGCGCAAUGGAGGAAACUCUGACGCAGCCAUGCCGCGUGAAGGAAUGAAUGCCCUAUGGGUUGUAAACUUCUUUUAUAUGGGAAGAAAUAUAGAUACGUGUAUUUAUUUGACGGUACCAUACGAAUAAGCACCGGCUAACUCCGUGCCAGCAGCCGCGGUAAUACGGAGGGUGCAAGCGUUAUCCGGAUUCAUUGGGUUUAAAGGGUACGUAGGCGGAUAGAUAAGUCAGUGGUGAAAGCCCGAAGCUCAACUUCGGAACUGCCAUUGAAACUGUUUAUCUUGAAUUUGGUUGAAGUGGGCGGAAUAUGACAUGUAGCGGUGAAAUGCAUAGAUAUGUCAUGGAACACC
rnacentral:rRNA from 1 species